rnacentral:rRNA from 1 species
UACGGAGGGUGCGAGCGUUGUCCGGAAUCACUGGGCGUAAAGGGCGCGUAGGUGGCCCGUCAAGCGCGCGGUGAAAGCCCGGGGCUCAACCCCGGGUCGGCCGUGCGGACUGGCGGGCUCGAGCACUGUAGGGGCGGGUGGAAUUCCAGGUGUAGCGGUGAAAUGCGUAGAUAUCUGGAGGAACACCGGUGGCGAAGGCGGCAUCCUGGACCGGUAUUGACGCUGAGGCGCGAAAGCCAGGGGAGCAAACGGG